rnacentral:miRNA from 1 species
UAGGUUGGUGCAAAAGUAAUCACUGUUUUUGCAAUUAAAAGUAAUGACAAACUCCACAAUUACUUUUGCACUAACCUA